rnacentral:tRNA from 1 species
AGCAGCAUGGCUUAGUGGAAAGAGCACUGGCCUUGGAAUCAGAAGACCUGGGUUCUAAUCCCAACUCUGCUA